AGCUGUGCUGAUUUAUUCGGGUUUCCUUGACUAAUUUUAAAAUUAGUCUAUAAUGGGAAUUGUCUGUUUCCAUCUACAAAAUCUUUCAACACCAUUGUUCAAUCAACUGAGAUGCCCAAAAAUCCUAACAAUAAUAUGAUCGGACACCUCCUUCCCCCCGUGCCCCACACUUUUCUUCAAGAUCAAUUUUGUAAUCCUUCGAAAUUGAGGAGAAACUAGGGCGGGGGCUGUAACCUCUUAUUGUUUUCAUCCAUGACAUAAAAUAUACCAAAUCUGUGGCUUUCAGAAGAUUAUCAUAAAACGUUCUAAAAUGCAUGAAAUAGCGUAUCGGGGUCCGGAGACCAUAAUUAUUGAAAGGUUUUCCUGGAGACCAUGUCCCCUCCCUCCCACACAUUUGGGGGUGCUAUGCCCCUGUCCCCUACAUAGAUAUCUUAUAUACACUAGAUAGCGCGUCUCUUUUAGUACAAUUGAAGCCAAGAAUAUUCCAGCGGUUACCCCCAUUUGAAUAGAUGGCGGCCAUGUUGGUAGUUCCCACUCGCU